AUUGAACGCUGGCGGCAGGCCUAACACAUGCAAGUCGAGCGGAGCGGCGGGCGGGUGAGUGAUGCCUAGGUAUCUGCCUGGUCGUGGGGGAUAACGUCAGGAAAGGAGCGCUGAUACCGCAUCCUAUCAGAUGAGCCUAGGUGGGAUUAGCUAGUUGGUGGGGUAAAGGCCUACCAAGGCGACGAUCCGUAACUGGUCUGAGUGGAUGAUCAGUCACACUGGAACUGAGACACGGUCCAGACUCCUACGGGAGGCAGCAGUGGGGAAUAUUGGACAAUGGGCGAAAGCCUGAUGCAGCCAUGCCGCGUGUGUGAAGAAGGUCUUCGGAUUGUAAAGCACUUUAAGUUGGGAGGCGUUACCAACAGAAUAAGCACCGGCUAACUCCGUGCCAGCAGCCGCGGUAAUAC
rnacentral:rRNA from 1 species